rnacentral:rRNA from 1 species
CCAGACUCCUACGGGAGGCAGCAGUGGGGAAUAUUGCGCAAUGGGCGAAAGCCUGACGCAGCGACGCCGCGUGAGGGAUGAAGGUCUUCGGAUCGUAAACCUCUGUCAGCAGGGAAGAACGGUCACUGUGCUAAUCAGCAGUGAAUUGACGGUACCUGCAAAGGAAGCACCGGCUAACUCCGUGCCAGCAGCCGCGGUAAUACGGAGGGUGCGAGCGUUAAUCGGAAUUACUGGGCGUAAAGCGCUCGUAGGCGGUAUGUCAAGUCAAGGGUGAAAUCCCCGCGCUCAACGUGGGAACUGCCUUUGAAACUGGCGCUCUUGAGUGGAAGAGAAGUAUGCGGAAUGCGUGGUGUAGCGGUGAAAUGCAUAGAUAUCACGCAGAACCCCGAUUGCGAAGGCAGCAUGCCGGCUUCCGACUGACGCUGAAGCACGAAAGCGUGGAGAUCGAACAGGAUUAGAUACCCCAGUAG